rnacentral:lncRNA from 1 species
CACCCCAAGCGCAGAUGAAAGGUGAUGACAAAGGGGUGGAACGUCGAGAGAUCGUCUGAGCAACCCGGCCGUUGUGCAGGGCCUUAAUUAUACUCUGAAUAUAGUAGCAGAAACCACAGCACCCAUUACAAACAUGUCCACACACCUCGAGGUUUAUUUCCCUCCCCUGGCCAUGCUAGUCUCCCAGCCAGGCCUGGGGUUCCACAAAACAAGUCUGUCCUUUGUUCCCUAUGUUAACACUUUAAGUCUGUAAUGGUCUAUACAGCAGAAUCUUUAGGAGAGCAGUUUGCACGGUGCUUGUGACAGCUUCCAACACAGCCACCAGGCAAACCUGGUCCUCAUUGUUUCGCUACUGUUUGUAAUGCUUGUGGGCUGGGCCCCAGAGAGUUUGCAGUCCAAGUGGCAACUAAACUGAAUCACCCGCUGAGCCAGGUCUAAGGAGCUCAGCCUGCUCCACAGGGACCCGCAUCAGCACAGCUGUGCCUAGCUGGCACCAUUGUCUAAACAGACCUAGGACUGAACAGGCCUGUGGGUGCUAAACUCCCCUUUUCUGUAAGCAUUCAGGAUCCCAAGGGGACAAAUUUGCUGCUUCCCAGCCACCUCCAGUCGACCUCUGGUAGAGGAUCUCAAAGCACUUUUCAUACUUCGUGAAAUCAUCGUAACUGCCUGGCCACAUCUGUUUGUGGGCAAACAGGGAACUGAGGCAGAGAUUUCUGAGCUCACACUGACCAAGCCCUGUGCACCCAAAUUCCCUCCAGUCACCUGUAACGGCCCAGGAAGCUUGAAUCCUGGCUCUUACUAGCAGAUCUCUCUCUCUCCAGGCAUAUUUUUAACAACCAUUAUUUACACUUAUAAAAAAACCAGUGGGCUGCAAAAGCACAAGGUUUCAUGCAGAAGCAGCCCGCAUGAAGACUGCUUUUAGUUCUGUGCUAUGGCAGCAGCAUCUUCUCUGAUUGUUUUGUCUUGGUUUUUUUUCCCCCCUCUCUUUAAGAAAGAAAAGCAAGUGCCUAUCAAGGCUCAGAAAACCCUGGCAUGGGCCUGGCUGGUGCAGGUAUCCACAACACAAGGCAAGAUUUAUACUUUUAGCUAAUGUGAGCUUCUGCCGUGCUCCAU